GGCCACAUCCUUGCCUUUUACCCUAAAUUAUUAUUUUAUUAUUUUUUCUUAGAAAAUUCAUAACUAAAUACACAAAAAUCACAAUAAUGUUCCGAAAAUUGCUACGAACUCAUUGAGACUUCAUCUUCCUACUAAACUCCCUGUUUCAUUGUUACGCUACAUUAGUAUUUUAUUAUUAUUUAUCCUAAAUUAUUAAUAUUAUUAUUAUAUUACUUUUUAGCCCAUACAUUUGUUAAUUAUAUUUAAGGACCCGCC
rnacentral:lncRNA from 1 species